rnacentral:rRNA from 1 species
AUGAACGCUGGCGGUAUGCUUAACACAUGCAAGUCGAACGGUCUCUUCGGAGAUAGUGGCGGACGGGUGAGUAACGCGUGAGAAUCUGUCUUCAGGUCGGGGACAACCACUGGAAACGGUGGCUAAUACCGGAUGUGCCUUUGGGUGAAAGAUUAAUUGCCUGGAGAUGAGCUCGCGUCUGAUUAGCUAGUAGGUGUGGUAAGAGCGCACCUAGGCGACGAUCAGUAGCUGGUCUGAGAGGAUGAUCAGCCACACUGGGACUGAGACACGGCCCAGACUCCUACGGGAGGCAGCAGUGGGGAAUUUUUCCGCAAUGGGCGAAAGCCUGACGGAGCAAUACCGCGUGAGGGAGGAAGGCUCUUGGGUUGUAAACCUCUUUUCUCAAGGAAGAACACAAUGACGGUACUUGAGGAAUCAGCAUCGGCUAACUCCGUGCCAGCAGCCGCGGUAAUACGGAGGAUGCAAGCGUUAUCCGGAAUGAUUGGGCGUAAAGCGUCCGCAGGUGGCUUUGUAAGUCUGCUGUUAAAGAGUGAGGCUCAACCUCAUAAAAGCAGUGGAAACUACAAGGCUAGAGUUACGUUCGGGGCAGAAGGAAUUCCUGGUGUAGCGGUGAAAUGCGUAGAGAUCAGGAAGAACACCGGUGGCGAAAGCGUUCUGCUAGGCCGUAACUGACACUGAGGGACGAAAGCUAGGGGAGCGAAUGGGAUUAGAUACCCCAGUAGUCCUAGCCGUAAACGAUGGAUACUAGGCGUGGCUUGUAUCGACCCGAGCCGUGCCGGAGCUAACGCGUUAAGUAUCCCGCCUGGGGAGUACGCACGCAAGUGUGAAACUCAAAGGAAUUGACGGGGGCCCGCACAAGCGGUGGAGUAUGUGGUUAUUAAUUCGAUGCAACGCGAAGAACCUUACCAAGACUUGACAUGUCGCGAACCUUUGUGAAAGCAGAGGGUGCCUUCGGGAGCGCGAACACAAGUGGUGCAUGGCUGUCGUCAGCUCGUGUCGUGAGAUGUUGGGUUAAGUCCCGCAACGAGCGCAACCCUCGUUUUUAGUUGCCAGCAUUAAGUUGGGCACUCUAGAGAGACUGCCGGUGACAAACCGGAGGAAGGUGGGGAUGACGUCAAGUCAGCAUGCCCCUUACGUCUUGGGCUACACACGUACUACAAUGCUACGGACAAAGGGCAGCAAGCUAGUGAUAGCGAGCAAAUCUCAUAAACCGUAGCUCAGUUCAGAUCGCAGGCUGCAACUCGCCUGCGUGAAGUCGGAAUCGCUAGUAAUUGCAGGUCAGCAUACUGCAGUGAAUUUCGUUCCCGGGCCUUGUACACACCGCCCGUCACACCAUGGAAGCUGGCAACGCCCGAAGUCAUUACUCCAACUGUUCGCAGAGGAGGAUGCCUAAGGCAGUGCUGGUGACUAGGGUG